rnacentral:rRNA from 1 species
UACAGAGGUCUCAAGCGUUGUUCGGAUUCAUUGGGCGUAAAGGGUGCGUAGGUGGCGCCGUAAGUCAGGUGUGAAAUUUCGGAGCUUAACUCCGAAACUGCAUUUGAUACUGCGGUGCUCGAGGACUGGAGAAGAGACUGGAAUUUACGGUGUAGCAGUGAAAUGCGUAGAGAUCGUAAGGAAGACCAGUGGCGAAGGCGGGUCUCUGGACAGUUCCUGACACUGAGGCACGAAGGCCAGGGGAGCAAACGGG